GCUGACCUAGAAAGAGCCAUAUUGUGACUAUGCUGGGACUAUUUAUUAGGCAACCUAUUUUCUGCUCCAGGUCAGCCAACAAUGGAAGAGGCAGCACAGUGAGGGGCGAUGCCUGCAUAGAAAGGUAUCAUGAUAUAUUCUCAGAUCUCUGCGGUGUUAUGAUGAGUCUGCAUCUGGAGUAACUUCUCACUGUUUUCUAUUGGAACUUUCUCAACUGGAUGAUGUUGCCCAAACACCUGACAAGAUGCAACUGAAAGAAAGACAGCUUGGUUUCAGCCCACUGAGGGGAUGGAGUGGACCGCAGUAGGAAGGCACAGCAGAAUGAGUGUGAAGUUGCUUGUUCACAUCACAGAAGAUUAGGAACCUCAUCAUGAACCUGAAGCCCAGGCAGGCCAUCAGCAACAGUGCCAGAUCAAUAGUGAUACCCACUUACUCCAGCUUCAUUUCAUUUCCUGAAGGUUCUGCAGCCUACCAAAACAGCAUCUCCACUUGAGGGCUGAGGGUUCAC
rnacentral:lncRNA from 1 species